rnacentral:tRNA from 5 species
GGAGGGCUCGCAUAGUGGCCUAGUGCGGCGGUCUUGAAAACCGCUAUGGGUUCAUAGCCCAUCGUGGGUUCGAAUCCCACGCCCUCCGCCA